UGUUUCGGCAAGGGGGUCAUCCCGACUUACCAACCCGAUGCAAACUGCGAAUACCGGAGAAUGUUAUCACGGGAGACACACGGCGGGUGCUAACGUCCGUCGUGAAGAGGGAAACAACCCAGACCGCCAGCUAAGGUCCCAAAGUCAUGGUUAAGUGGGAAACGAUGUGGGAAGGCCCAGACAGCCAGGAUGUUGGCUUAGAAGCAGCCAUCAUUUAAAGAAAGCGUAAUAGCUCACUGGUCGAGUCGGCCUGCGCGGAAGAUGUAACGGGGCUAAACCAUGCACCGAAGCUGCGGCAGCGACGCUUAUGCGUUGUUGGGUAGGGGAGCGUUCUGUAAGCCUGUGAAGGUGUGCUGUGAGGCAUGCUGGAGGUAUCAGAAGUGCGAAUGCUGACAUAAGUAACGAUAAAGCGGGUGAAAAGCCCGCUCGCCGGAAGACCAAGGGUUCCUGUCCAACGUUAAUCGGGGCAGGGUGAGUCGACCCCUAAGGCGAGGCCGAAAGGCGUAGUCGAUGGGAAACAGGUUAAUAUUCCUGUACUUGGUGUUACUGCGAAGGGGGGACGGAGAAGGCUAUGUUGGCCGGGCGACGGUUGUCCCGGUUUAAGCGUGUAGGCUGGUUUUCCAGGCAAAUCCGGAAAAUCAAGGCUGAGGCGUGAUGACGAGGCACUACGGUGCUGAAGCAACAAAUGCCCUGCUUCCAGGAAAAGCCUCUAAGCAUCAGGUAACAUCAAAUCGUACCCCAAACCGACACAGGUGGUCAGGUAGAGAAUACCAAGGCGCUUGAGAGAACUCGGGUGAAGGAACUAGGCAAAAUGGUGCCGUAACUUCGGGAGAAGGCACGCUGAUAUGUAGGUGAAGUCCCUCGCGGAUGGAGCUGAAAUCAGUCGAAGAUACCAGCUGGCUGCAACUGUUUAUUAAAAACACAGCACUGUGCAAACACGAAAGUGGACGUAUACGGUGUGACGCCUGCCCGGUGCCGGAAGGUUAAUUGAUGGGGUCAGCGCAAGCGAAGCUCUUGAUCGAAGCCCCGGUAAACGGCGGCCGUAACUAUAACGGUCCUAAGGUAGCGAAAUUCCUUGUCGGGUAAGUUCCGACCUGCACGAAUGGCGUAAUGAUGGCCAGGCUGUCUCCACCCGAGACUCAGUGAAAUUGAAC
rnacentral:rRNA from 1 species